GGUAAUGGUGAAAGUUCGCCUAUCAUUACGCCCACCAGAAAAGAAGGAUUUUGGAUAAAUUUCAAUUCGGACGUAUUGAUAUAGCGAAAAAUGCCAGCGCUGAUUCAAAAGACCCAGGCGUUCAUUGUGUGUCGUAUAAAAAAAAAUCAGAUCUUGUUGAAAUAAUGGAAGCGAAAAAGGUUCCAGGUCACCUAAUU